UUGAAACCUCGAAGUGACGGACCGCGAAAAUGUUUCUGCCGCAUUGGAGCUUGAUGAGUCAGUGAUGGCCAUCUCUAUGCAUCCACCUGGCCUCUCGGAUGCGAGGCAUGCCUAGUUGUGCCAAACAAACAAACCCCACGGCGCGUGAUGCGCCAAGGAUCACAAAUGUGGAGUGACGCUCCCGUCAUGCGCCCUUCGUGGGUGUCUUGGCCGGCAUGUGCGUUUGUCUCCUUAAAUUGAGUAUGAAAUUAC
rnacentral:misc_RNA from 1 species